AGGACGAACGCUGGCGGCGUGCUUAACACAUGCAAGUCGAGCGGAAAGGCCCUUCGGGGUACUCGAGCGGCGAACGGGUGAGUAACACGUGAGUAAUCUGCCCCUAGCUCUGGGAUAGCUCCGGGAAACCGGGAUUAAUACCAGAUACGACCACUUUAGACAUCUGCUGUGGUGGAAAGAAUUUCGGCUAGGGAUGAGCUCGCGGCCUAUCAGCUUGUUGGUGAGGUAACGGCUCACCAAGGCGACGACGGGUAGCCGGCCUGAGAGGGCGACCGGCCACACUGGGACUGAGACACGGCCCAGACUCCUACGGGAGGCAGCAGUGGGGAAUAUUGCGCAAUGGGCGAAAGCCUGACGCAGCGACGCCGCGUGGGGGAUGAAGGCCUUCGGGUUGUAAACCCCUUUCAGCAGGGACGAAGCGAAAGUGACGGUACCUGCAGAAGAAGCGCCGGCUAACUACGUGCCAGCAGUCGC
rnacentral:rRNA from 1 species